GGAGGGAUGGCAGAGCGGCUGAAUGCACUGGUCUUGAAAACCAGCAAGGACUAAUAUCCUUCUAGGGUUCAAAUCCCUAUCCCUCCACCA
rnacentral:tRNA from 1 species